rnacentral:rRNA from 1 species
GCUCAAAACUCAAAGGACUUGACGGUGUCCCAAACCAACCUAGAGGAGCCUGUCCUAUAAUCGAUAAUCCACGCUACACCUUACCCCCCCUUGAAACCAGUCUGUAUACCGCCGUCUCCGGUUCGCCUUAUGACAGACCCGUCGCGAACAUAAUAGCCUUACCACUAAAACGUCAGGUCAAGGUGCAGCUAACGGGGGGGCAGCGAUGGGCUACAUUUUCUACCUUACCAGAACAACACCGCCCACCUUAUGAAACAUUGGUCACAAGGCGGAUUUAGCAGUAAGCCAGACA